rnacentral:rRNA from 1 species
AUUGAACGCUGGCGGCAGGCCUAACACAUGCAAGUCGAGCGAGCGGCGGACGGGUGAGUAAUGUAUGGGAAACUGCCUGAUGGAGGGGGCUAACUACUGGAAACGGUAGCUAAUACCGCAUACCAUCAGUUGUGCCCAGAUGGGCGUAGCUAGUAGGUGGGGUAAUGGCUCACCUAGGCGACGCUCCCUAGCUGGGCUGGGAGGAUGACCAGCCACACUGGAACUGAGACACGGUCCAGACCACUACGGGAGGCAGCAGUGGGGAAGAUUGCACAAUGGGCGGAAGCCUGAUGCAGCCAUGCCGCGUGUGGUAAGAAGGCCUGCGGGUUUGAAAGCUCUUUCAGCGUGGAGGCGGUACCCGAAGAAGAAGCACCGGCUAACUCCGUGCCAGCAGCCGCGGUAAUAC